AGUGAACGCUGGCGGUAGGCCUAACACAUGCAAGUCGAGCGGCAGCACAGUAAGAGCUUGCCCUUACGGGUGGCGAGUGGCGGACGGGUGAGGAAUACAUCGGAAUCUACUUUUUCGUGGGGGAUAACGUAGGGAAACUUACGCUAAUACCGCAUACGACCUACGGGUGAAAGCAGGGGAUCUUCGGACCUUGCGCGAUUGAAUGAGCCGAUGUCGGAUUAGCUAGUUGGCGGGGUAAAGGCCCACCAAGGCGACGAUCCGUAGCUGGUCUGAGAGGAUGAUCAGCCACACUGGAACUGAGACACGGUCCAGACUCCUACGGGAGGCAGCAGUGGGGAAUAUUGGACAAUGGGCGCAAGCCUGAUCCAGCCAUACCGCGUGGGUGAAGAAGGCCUUCGGGUUGUAAAGCCCUUUUGUUGGGAAAGAAAAGCAGCAGGUUAAUACCCCGCUGUUCUGACGGUACCCAAAGAAGAAGCACCGGCUAACUUCGU
rnacentral:rRNA from 1 species